ensembl:lncRNA
AUGAGGGUGUGGGUUUCUGUUAAUGAAAAGUUGCUUCACAGUCUUGAUGAGGACUCUCAGCUUGCUGUGGACACUGAAAAGGGUGGUCUGAGAGAAACCCAGCAUCAGCAUCAGCAGAGGUUCUGCUCCCAAGAGCUGGUGGCCAUAUCAGAGGCAGCUUCAGGUUGGACGGUCCAAUUGAGAUGCUUAAUUGAUGAACUCCAAGCAAGCCUACUACUCUGGAACCAGGGGGAAUUUGCCUGGUGAUGGUAGCGCUGAACUGGACAGAAAGAAUACUCACAAAAGUUACCAGAGGAACACAUGGCUCAAAGUGUGACUUUACACCAGCCCUCAUUUCUAUCUCCACCUCCUCUGCCAUUCCUUCAUUUCUUAAGUGAUGGGUGAAAAGCCACAAACGGUAGCAAAUUUCCAUGUAUCACCAUUAUUUUUCUGUUACUAUCUGUGGCUUAGUUCAUUUGAAAUACAGAAUGAGACAUGACCAGCAGGCAUUCCUUCAGGUGUAGAACAAUUAGAACAAUGGCACCUGACGUUUAUCUAUGGGUGCUAGAGAGGGAACUGCUGAUACACGUCUAGUUUACUAUGCACAUUAGCACCAACACACAGGGCCUUCUGCUUCACCUACACAUUGUCAUGGUGCACUUGAACUUGUUCACACGGGGACUUCUGGGCACACAGCUUUUGUCAAUUGCACUGGGUGGCUGCUAUUUUUGAACGGGGCGUGAAUACCACGCAAAACACAGCAGAGAAUGAAUUAUUUGUGUCAUAUUUACGUUUUGUCUGAUAAAUUGUAUGGCAAUAAUUGUGUUAUUAACAUUUCUGCUACAAAUUUUAUUGACAUCUUACUUGUGGGUCAUUUCAAGAACAGGAAAAAAGCAUAACCGCUAACAAAGUCUUGCUGAUCUUAAUUUAAGAAGUUUAGAAUUUUUCCUUUGAUGUAGAAUGUUUGAAACAGUGGGUCACAGGGCCCAAAGGCACUUUAGUUCUUUUUAAAGACACAGUAAACUGUGGGUUUUGUCAAAGCAUAUAAUAAGAAACAUAGUAUUUCUCUGUCAUUGCAACAAAUGACAAACUAAAAUUGGAUAUAGAAGUCUUCUUUCUAUUUCCAUCUAAAAGUGAUUUCUUAGGAAGAUUGUACUUUGAAUAUCUGAUUUUGUGAAUAGCAAAUAAUCGUGAAUAAUUAUUUCCUGUUCCCACUGUCUUGCUCAUUGUUUUUGAAGCUAUCUCAAUCUUUGAAGGUCAUUCUUUUUUUCGCCCUUCCAUUGGCAUUCUAAGCCAGUACUUACAUGACUCAGACUAACUUCUCUAAUUUCCAUACAUUAAUUUUCUCAGGAAGUGGUACCAACAGUGCUAGCAACCUUCUCACUGACCCAGCAAGUGCUAGUUAUAUUUCAGAAACAGUCUCUGACAUGAAUUUUGUGUAAUGAAAUUAGUUCCCUAACUAGUGGUUAAGACACCUAUGAUCCACAUUGAAUACCUGGGUUCAUGUCUCUGCUCUGGCUCCCCAAUCCAGCUAUCUGCCAAGGCAGACGGUGGGAAAUAGUGGUUAUGGCCAAAGUAGCUGGGUUCCUGUCAUCACGUGGGAGAUUUGGAUUGAGUUCCUGCGUCCUGUGCUCGGCCAGGCUCAGCCCCAGCCAUUGGAGACCUUUGAGGAGUGAACCAGUGGAUAGGGCACUCUUUUCUCUUUCAAAUGAAUACAUAAAAACUAAUUAAUAAAUAAAAUUAGUGCCAGAGUUCA